rnacentral:rRNA from 1 species
CAGUACCGUGAGGGAAAGGUGAAAAGAACCCCGGGAGGGGAGUGAAAUAGAACCUGAAACCGUGUGCCUACAACCGGUCAGAGCACUUUAUAUGUGUGAUGACGUGCUUUUUGUAGAACGAGCCAGCGAGUUACGGUAUGUAGCGAGGUUAAGGACUUAAGGUCUGGAGCCGAAGGGAAACCGAGUCUUAAAAGGGCGAAAAGUUGCAUGCUGUAGACCCGAAACCAGGUGACCUAUCCAUGGUCAGGUUGAAGCGAAGGUAAAACUUCGUGGAGGACCGAACCACGUUGGUGUUGAAAAACCAUGGGAUGAACUGUGGAUAGCGGAGAAAUUCCAAUCGAACUUGGAGAUAGCUGGUUCUCCCCGAAAUAGCUUUAGGGCUAGCGUUGAGAAUGAGUAGUGGAGGUAGAGCACUGAAUGGGCUAGGGGGCAUAGAGCUUACUGAACCUUAUCAAACUCCGAAUGCCACUAACUUGAAUCUCAGCAGUCAGACUACGAAUGAUAAGAUCCGUGGUCAAAAGGGAAACAGCCCAGACCAUCAGCUAAGGUCCCAAAGUGUAGAUUAAGUGGAAAAGGAUGUGGGAUUUCUAAGACAACUAGGAUGUUGGCUUAGAAGCAGCCACUCAUUUAAAGAGUGCGUAAUAGCUCACUAGUCAAGAGAUCCUGCGCCGAAGAUGUCCGGGGCUAAAAUCUACCACCGAAGCUAUGGGUGUACACUAGAUGUACGCGGUAGGGGAGCGUCCUAUGUUGGAAGAAGUUGUACCGAAAGGAGCAGUGGACGACAUAGGAGUGAGAAUGCUGGCAUAAGUAGCGAGAAGUGAGUGAGAAUCUCACUGGCCGAAAACCUAAGGUUUCCUGAGGAAGGCUCGUCCGCUCAGGGUUAGUCGGGACCUAAGCCGAGGCCGAAAGGCGUAGGUGAUGGACAAUCGGUUGAUAUUCCGAUACCACUAUAAGCGUAUGACCAAUGGGGUGACGCAGGAGGAUAAGAUGUGCUAACUAAUGGAUGUUAGUCUAAGCACUUAGACAGUAAAGAUAGGCAAAUCCGUCUUUAUAAUGUUGAGGUGUGAUGGGGAAGGUGCAAGCACCGAAGUAUCUGAUUCCACGCUGCCAAGAAAAGCCUCUAGGGAGCAAAGUAGUGCCCGUACCGCAAACCGACACAGGUAGGUGAGGAGAGAAUCCUAAGGCCAUCGGAAGAAUUGCAGUUAAGGAACUCGGCAAAUUGACUCCGUAACUUCGGGAGAAGGAGUGCCAUAGAAAUAUGGUCGCAGAGAAUAGGCCCAAGCAACUGUUUAGCAAAAACACAGGUCUCUGCUAAAGCGAAAGCUGAUGUAUAGGGGCUGACGCCUGCCCGGUGCUGGAAGGUUAAGGGGAACACUUAGCAUAAGCGAAGGUGUGAACUUAAGCCCCAGUAAACGGCGGCCGUAACUAUAACGGUCCUAAGGUAGCGAAAUUCCUUGUCAGGUAAGUUCUGACCCGCACGAAUGGCGUAAUGACUUGGGCACUGUCUCAACUGCAAAUCCGGCGAAAUUGUAGUGCCAGUGAAGAUGCUGGCUACCCGCGAUUGGACGGAAAGACCCCGUAGAGCUUUACUGCAAUUUAGCAUUGAGUUCCGGUAUUGUCUGUACAGGAUAGGUGGGAGGCUGAGAAAUAGGAUCGUCAGGUCCUAUGGAGCCACCCUUGGGAUACCACCCUGACAGUACUGGGAUUCUAACCGGGCACCAUGAAGCUGGUGACGGGACAUUGUUAGGUGGGCAGUUUGACUGGGGCGGUCGCCUCCAAAAAAGUAACGGAGGCGCCCAAAGGUUCCCUCAGAAGGGUCGGAAAUCCUUCGAAGAGUGCAAAGGCAGAAGGGAGCCUGACUGCGAGACCAACAAGUCGAGCAGGGACGAAAGUCGGGCUUAGUGAUCCGGUGGUACCUCGUGGGAGGGCCAUCGCUCAACGGAUAAAAGCUACCUCGGGGAUAACAGGCUGAUCUCCCCCAAGAGUCCACAUCGACGGGGAGGUUUGGCAC